rnacentral:lncRNA from 10 species
GCUAUCAUGAGGAAAACUGCUAUAAGCAUUUGCAUGUAAGUCUUUGUGUGAGUAGAUUUCUUGCUUUAGAACUUGUGGGUUUUCUAGAAAGUUUAUGUUUAACAUUUUAUGAAUAAUUUACAUACUGAUGGAAAUGUACAUUGUACUGCCAAACUGUUUUCCAAAACAGCAGUACAAUUUAUAUUCCCAUCAGUAAUGUACGAAGGGCUUAAGCUUCUCUGCACCUCACCAGUGUUUGUUUGCUAUUGUCUGUCUUUUUAUAAUAAUCAUUCUAGUGGGUAUGUAGUGAUAUCUCAUUGUGGUGUUAAUUUUUAUUUCCCUGAUGACUAUUAAUGUUGAGCAUCUCUAUAUGUGCUUAUUAGCCUUUCGUAUUUCUUGUUUGGUGAAAUGUGCACUCAAUUAUAUUUACAUAGUAUUAGAUACACACUACUUUAACAUCAUCUGAUACAGAACAGAUUUUGAAAAUGCAUUUGAUUAUAUCUGAAUGAACAUUUGCUAUGUACAAUGUGCUUGGCUAUUUGCUUUAUAACAUUAAAUGAGCAUCUUCUAUGUGCAAUAUAUUGAGCUAGCUGCUUUGUUACAAACCAAAAAAAAAAAUUUAAGCUCUUGCAGACUUUACAGAAAUAACCACAUUAUAAUGUAGAUAAUUCAUUCAUGUUGAAUGCUAUCACAGAUAAUUAGACAGUGUUUUGUUCACUCAAAGGAAGAAAACAAUCUUUUCUCUUGACAGGAGGGAGGUAUCCAGAGAGGCUAAUGGAAGAGACAGGCUUUGGGAUUUAUUUGCAGAGAGGUUAGGCAUUCAGACAUGUGGAAAGAGAGAUGAAAGGAAAGUGCACCUGAGGCUGAACAAGUGACUAAAGGAGAAGCCACUGUGCCUGUCGAAAGAACAAUGAAUAAUCCAGAAUUGAUAGAUAAGUAAGACUGGGGAAGGAAGAGAAAGGAAGACACAGCCUCUGAGAGCCGGAUGAAGACACAAAUGGGAUGGAGGCUGCGGCUGUUAAACCAUCAGGACUCAGCGGCUGUUAAACCAUCAGGACUCAGCAAUUAUUUCAUGUGGAGACAAGUGAUGGCAAAGCCAAAAGGCCACGGGUGUUGAGCUGUUGACGAGAAACUGAAAGUGCCAUUGUGUUUAUACAGGAAGCUGCCAUUAGUAGGGAUUUGAAAAAGCAAGAGGAGAGGAUGAGUUUAGUGGGGAGUUCUUACACUUCAGGUGCUAGUGGAUACCACCAAGUCAAUAUUGAGUAGCAGGAAACCAGGGCCUGAUGUUCCGUCAGGCCAUCAGGGCGGAGACAUUGUGGAGAGGAAGUUUUGAGGCUGUGAGAUUAGGAGAGAAGCAUGGAGUGUAGAGCAGGAACUAGGCCUCUCUUUACC